rnacentral:sRNA from 1 species
UCAUGGCUUCCAGAGACACCCUCCUGAGAGAAGGGCUUAUGCUGAUGUUUUCCUCCUGCCUUCCACUGCGUGGACGGCUCUACAGAGGGCCAGGGCGCAGGCAGUGUGGACAACACAGCGACCCCGGUGCUGUGGGAGUGGGCACUAUUGGGAAGCCACCGUCCAUAGAAGCAGCGUGUUCCAGGCAGGUGCAGAGGUGGGAGGCAGCAUCUUCCCAGUGCGAUGUCCCCAGGUGGGGGGCCUCAUCGCCCACCCCCAGCGCUGUCCCUACAGGUGCAGCAGGAGCGGGAUGAGCUUUAUCGGAAGUUCACUGCAGCCAUCCAGGAGGUGCAGCAGAAGACAGGCUUCAAGAACCUGGUGCUAGAACGCAAGCUGCAGGCUCUGAGCGCUGCUGUGGAGAAGAAGGAGGUGCAGUUCAACGAGGUCCUGGCUGCCUCUAACCUGGACCCUGCAGCCCUGACGCUGGUGUCCCGCAAGCUUGAGGAUGUUCUGGAAUCGAAGAACAGCACCAUCAAGGACCUGCAGUAUGAGCUGGCCCGGGUCUGUAAGUGCUGCGCACAUAUGAGGCAAAGCUCCUGGCCUUCGGGAUCCCUCUGGACAACGUGGGCUUCAAGCCCUUGGAAACAGCUGUGAUCGGACAGAUGCUGGGCCAGGGUCCCGCGGGACUGGUGGGCACCCCGACGUAGCUGCCCCCCUGGGGGGCCACAGCCCAGAGAGCCAGCCUAGGAACACUCUCGGGAUGACACCCCUUUUCACACCAAGGACAGCACGUUUUUUAGAUUUUAUCAUCAGCAAAUGAAAGCUUUUCACAUGUU